ensembl:lncRNA
UCUCUUACGUAUGCUGUAGUGGCCAGCAGCUUGAGCCACCUGGGAUUCUGCAGUCUGGAGGAAAAGACAGCCUCUGAUUAAACCUGCCACGCUGUGGGUGAGCAAGAAGAUGGAGGUGAAAUACGACAACCCUAGACCAUCUCAACAGCAGCAAGGCUGAGUGCCCGGCACAGGCUUGAGUGUGGAAAAGUGUCGGGCAAGAGAGGAAGGCUUCAGCCUGUGUGAGAAGCCAACUCAGCCCCCAGUGCAGACUCUGCCAUCGCCUAGCUGCGGGAGUUGGGUCCGUUUCACAAAGUGUGAAACCUGCUGGUCCAGUGGUUAAGACUUGCCCUUCCAGUGUAGAUGAAUGCUGUCCCCAAAUGGAUGAAUCGGUUGACUAGUUGAUCAGUAAACUGUAAAUGCUGCUGUAAAAUAAAGAGUGUUUUGGCAAUAAAUCAGACAUGAAGAAUUCUCGGUUUCCCCGGGGAGCAUUUUUGAAGACUCUAGGAAAGUCCCAAUACAGAGGAACAACUCCGCUGCAAAGUGUCCCGUGAAAAGCUACAUCACAGGAGAAUCUGCCUCCAAAAAAGGUGAGAAAGCGUCUUAGACAAAGAAGUCACAGAAAUUCUUGUGCAAAGUUUCUACCAUGUAGAACACGGAAAGUUAGAUGAAACGUUAACUGAAAUGACGUAUAUAGA